AUGUCUGCUUUUGAGGUAUCUGCCCUACCUGAGACCACAAAAUCGGAGGACUCCGAAGUGCCUUGGAAGCACCUCCGCUCUGCUCCCUCGUCCCGGCUGAUGGGAUGCUUCAGGAAAGUGUGUGAUGGAAUUGGUCCUGGUGAAGCUCUGGAACUGGGUGACACACUAAACAGAAGAGGAUAUGACUUGGCAAUUUAGUUUUAAUGACUGCAUUGACAGGCAAAGGUGAAAAUACUGUGUGUGUUCAUCCCUUUGGAGCGUGGUUAUAUGGCAGUGGAUUUAGUGAGCAUAAUAAACUUGGGUACCAUGGCCCAUUUCCCUAGAAGUACAUUUGUGACAUUUGACAACUGAUGUUACUUUUCCUUAAACCUACACGGUUUCUUUCCCUCACUCUUUAGUCUUUAUCUGAGACCUAAUGAUUGUGUUCUUUGCAUUUUGGCAAUAAAAGCAAAAAAGAUUCUGGGUUGGUUUUGCCUCUUGUUAAGUUUUGCAAGAAAAAAAAUUGUCCUAAUAAAUUCUUUAGAAAAAUGUCUACACUGAAAAGGUGACUCAUAG
rnacentral:lncRNA from 1 species